UUCCCCGUUCGGGGGACGAGGGUGACAGGUGGUGGCAUGGUUGUCGUCAGCUCGUGUCGUGAGAUGUUGGGUUAAGUCCCGCAACGAGCGCAACCCUUAUCAUUAGUUGCUACGCAAGGGCACUCUAAUGAGACUGCCGGUGACAAACCGGAGGAAGGUGGGGAUGACGUCAAGUCCUCAUGGCCCUUAUGGGUAGGGCUUCACACGUCAUACAAUGGUCGGUACAGAGGGUUGCCAAGCCGCGAGGCGGAGCCAAUCCCACAAAGCCGAUCGUAGUCCGGAUUGUUCUCUGCAACUCGAGAGCAUGAAGUCGGAAUCGCUAGUAAUCGCAGGUCAGCAUACUGCGGUGAAUACGUUCCCGGGUCUU
rnacentral:rRNA from 1 species